UUGACUUUAGCUCUAAGUAUUGGAGCCAUUCCUCUGCUGGUGUUCCAAUGGAGAAGAAUGGAUGCCAUGGAGAGAAGGCUUCAGCCUAUGGCUGCUCUGCAUCUUCAUCAGGAAUUUGGUAAGAACUGUUUUCAUAUAUUUAUUUUUAGAAUCUAUCUAUCUAUCUAUCCAGUCUGUGUAGUGGUGCAGGCUGGGGGUGUGAUGAGUGAUUGUGUGCUGCUGUGAGAGUCUUUUUUCUAUUGUAUGCUUAUAUAUUGUGAAAGAUUGCACCACUUUCUGAGUUUGUUGCCCCUUUAAGACCAGAACCAAGGACACGGAAAUUG